GACGAACGCUGGCGGCGUGCUUAACACAUGCAAGUCGAACGCUGAAGCUUGGUGCUUGCACUGGUUGGAUGAGUGGCGAACGGGUGAGUAAUACGUGAGUAACCUGCCCUUGACUCUGGGAUAAGCCUGGGAAACUGGGUCUAAUACUGGAUACGACAUGCCACUGCAUGGUGGUGUGUGGAAAGGGGUUUACUGGUUUUGGAUGGGCUCACGGCCUAUCAGCUUGUUGGUGGGGUAAUGGCCUACCAAGGCGACGACGGGUAGCCGGCCUGAGAGGGUGACCGGCCACACUGGGACUGAGACACGGCCCAGAAUCCUACGGGAGGCAGCAGUGGGGAAUAUUGCACAAUGGGCGGAAGCCUGAUGCAGAGACGCCGCGUGAGGGAUGACGGCCUUCGGGUUGUAAACCUCUUUCAGCAAGGAAGAAGCGAGAGUGACGGUACGUGCAGAAGAAGCGCCGGCUAACUACGUG
rnacentral:rRNA from 1 species